rnacentral:rRNA from 1 species
AGGACGAACGCUGGCGGCGUGCUUAACACAUGCAAGUCGAGCGAGGCUUCUCCUUCGGGAGAUGUCCUAGCGGCGAACGGGUGAGUAACACGUGGGCAACCUGCCUCUAGCUCUGGGAUAACUCCGGGAAACCGGGGCUAAUACCGGAUACGACCUCGAACGGCAUCUAUCGAGGUGGAAAGUUUUUCGGCUAGAGAUGGGCCCGCGGCCUAUCAGCUUGUUGGUGAGGUAACGGCCCACCAAGGCGACGACGGGUAGCCGGCCUGAGAGGGGCGACCGGGCCAACGACUCGGGACUGGAGACACGGCCUAGACUCCUACGGGAGGCAGCAGUGGGGAAUAUUGCGCAAUGGGCGAAAGCCUGACGCAGCGACGCCGCGUGUGGGAUGACGGCCUUCGGGUUGUAACCACUGUCGCGAGGGACGAAGAUCUGACGGUACCGUCGAAAGGAAGCACCGGCUAACUCUGUGCCAGCAGCCGC